ensembl:lncRNA
GUUGGUCCGACCAGUUUAUUACAAAUGUUAAUAAGGGAGAUGGGGAAAGGGGAGGACGGACGCUAUUAAGGAUUGGGGUGAUGGGGAAGGGAAGGCGAGCGAUAGAAAAGAUAGAAAGAGGCAAGAAUGGCGUAAAGCGGGGAGAGUCACCACCAGGAUCGGUGCACGAUGUUCCGACGGUCCGAGGCCGAAGGGCAGGAGCAGCGAGGCCGGUCUGGGGCAGCGAGAGGAUGCAGGUCGGGGAGGAAGCAGCAGGUCUCAGGUAGCAGGCCUAGGGAAGUCCGUCAGCAAACGGUCCGUAGAGAAGGAUCGGAAGGCAGGAAGCUCGUGUCGUGGUGAGAGAUCAUGAGAGAUCAGCCCCUGUGUUGCGGUGAGAGAUCCGUCUCCACGUAGAGAUCCGUCUCCACGUUGCGGUGAAGGAUCAGACGGCAGAGAGCCCCUCAAGUCUGUCGUGGUGAGAGAUGAGCCUCUCCCGUUGCCGUGGUUGUGGUGAAGGAUCAGCUUCCCCCGUUGUGGUUAUUGGACCCUCUUUUAUCCUCCAUUUUCUGCUGCCUACGUGACAUUCCUGGGUGCUUGAGCAAGAGUCCUGGGCAUACCUCCUGAGAUGGCCAUUUUCCUCGAGAUAAGUCCACACAAAAAGACCUCUUCCCGGCCAUUAGCGGCAGCUUCUCUCUCUCUCGAUGCCCCUGGCCUUGUCCAUCUGUGCUCCUUAGAGGAUUUCACAACCCCUAGCCAGGACCUGUCCAUCAGUGUCCUCAAGACAAAAGAUUUCUCUGCCUUUGCCCAGGCCUUGCCUGGCCUCGUUCCUCAGCAAACUUUGAGUCAAUGAUAUAAAAGAAUAGUCUCUUACAGGAGCUGAAACCGCUUCGGGGGAUGCAACCCCUUCGGGGUCAGAAGUUUGCAGCGAGGAAGACUACGAGCCUUCGCGAGGAGGACUACGAGCCUUCAUCAUCACGACGUCCUACGCACGCGCAAAGGGGGGGAGGGACCGCGUGCUAAUGGGCUCUCGGGAAUGGAAUGAAUAUGCAUCCGAAUUCCUGAUUAUGUAUUAGUUUGACCUAUAUCCAUAGCACGAUUUCUUCGGACGGUGUGCAAGUUAGGUGGAGCGACCCCCCCCCUUGCAGCGGGGGGACACCAAUAGACACAUAGCUGCCCUAUAUCCUUGCCGGCUAUAGGGUCUGAUUGCCGCACGUCAGUUCAAGAGGCAGAGCAGUUCCCCUUCAGGGCUGCGCGGAGCGAAGGGAGCUGCAGGCGCAUCGCGGCUAUGGGGCUCGCAGUGGAGAAGCACGGAGACGUUGUCGUAGUAGGCGUCUUGCGGGGGCACGGGAUGUAUGGGACAGGCCUCUCCCUAAGCAUAGAGAGGCAGUGCUAUCGUGCUGACCUUGAUGCAGAGAAAACAGGAGAAGAAGAAGGAUGAGAAAAGAAUGUGGAGACGGCCACAUAGGGCACGGUGUUGUCUGGUAUGAGCCAAUCAGAGUGGGACAUGACAGCACGGUUUUGUAGGUAAAAAUGUAAUAUAAGCUGUGUUUUAGUAGUGAAUAGGGGCCAUUUUACCGCUCAGCAUAUUGGUGUCACCUCGGUAUAUGGCCAAGCCGCAGGCUCCCCGAAGCAACGAACAUCACGGUUGCCUGCGAAAGGCAACAGACGUGGCGCUGAGGGACGUGGUUUGGUGUGCACGGUGGCGGGUCGGGGUCGGAUUUGGGGGUCUCGGAGGUCUUUUCCAACCGGGACGAUUCGAUGCGAGAGGGUAUGGUGGGGAUGGGGUGAUGGUGGGACUCGAUGGUCUUGGAGAUCUCCUCCAACUUUAGUGAUGUUCUCUCCAGAUGGGGCCCAAUUGCUCCCUCGCCGUAC